CAUCUUAAGAGAGAGAGAGAGAGGCUUAUCCAUUGUACUUGGGUUAUGCUGGCCCCUGUGACUUCUCCAAAGGCAGGAAACUCAACUGCAUAAUUUGUGGGAUUGGGUCUAUGCUCACACUUUUCCCUU
ensembl:snRNA LOC120094482 U1 spliceosomal RNA